AUGGAGGGGAGGGUGCUGCGGCGCAGCGUCACGCUGGCGGACCAGCUGGCCGCCGUGGGCCCGCCCGCCGCCGCGCCGCCGGGGCAGCCGGGCUCCUGCAACCUCCGCGACCUGCUCAAGCUGCGCGACGAGGACGACGGCCGCCGCGCCGCCGCGGUCACCCUCGCCUCCGCCAUGCAGGCCGACCGCCGGGCCUCCCCCUCGCCGCCCUCCUCCAGCGCCGCCGUCGCGGCCGCCGCGGCGCGAACGCUGCUCGACAUCAUCCGCGACGACCAGCCGGCCCCUCCCGCCUCGCACGCCGCGGUCGCUGCCGGCGACCCGUUCGUCCGCCGCGCGGUGUCCCUGCCGGCCCCGCAGACCACCCCCGCCCCGGGCCCCGCGUUGACUAGACCCGUGGCCGCGCCGGUGACGCCUCCGGAGGCGUCGCCGCCUCAGCCGCCGACGGAUCGGGAGGAGGAGGAGGAGGAGCAGGGGGAGAGGGUGUCCCUCAUGGCGCUGCUGGAGCAGACGGAGAGGCAGUGGAGCGCCGGCGCGACGGUGCAGCAGCAGGAGCAGGACCCGGCGUCGGAGCCGUCGUCGCAGGAGGCGCUGGUGCCGGAGGACGACGCGGAGCUGCCGGAGCCGGGGCGAGGCGCCGGCUGCUGCUGCGUGUGCAUGGCGCGGGCCAAGGGCGCGGCCUUCAUCCCGUGCGGCCAUACCUUCUGCCGCGCCUGCGCCCGCGAGCUCCUCGCCGGCCGCGGCCGCUGCCCGCUCUGCAACGCCGCCAUCCUCGACGUCCUCGACAUCUUCUGA
rnacentral:rRNA from 1 species